GAUGAACGCUGGCGGCAUGCCUAAUACAUGCAAGUCGAACGAGAGGAAGGAAAGCUUGCUUUCCUGAAUCUAGUGGCGAACGGGUGAGUAACACGUAGGUAACCUGCCCAUGUGCCCGGGAGAACUUCUGGAAACGGAUGCUAAAACCGGAUAGGUAGCAGACAAACAUUUGACUGGUAUUAAAGUGGCCUUUGGCAUGAACAUGGAGUGGACUGCGGUGCAUGCGCUAGUUGGUGAGGUAACGGCCCACCAAGGCGACGAUGCAUAGCCGGCCUGAGAGGGCGGACGGCCACAUUGGGACUGAGACACGGCCCAAACUCCUACGGGAGGCAGCAGUAGGGAAUUUUCGUCAAUGGGGGGAACCCUGAACGAGCAAUGCCGCGUGAGCGAGGAAGGUCUUCGGAUCGUAAAGCUCUGUUGUAAGAGAAAAACGGCACUCAUAGGGAAUGAUGAGUGAGUGAUGGUAUCUUACCAGAAAGUCACGGCUAACUACGUGCCAGCAGCCGCCGCGGUAA
rnacentral:rRNA from 1 species